GGAAUUUUGCGCAAUGGGCGAAAGCCUGACGCAGCAACGCCGCGUGAGUGAUGAAGGCCCUCGGGUCGUAAAGCUCUGUCAGAGGGGAAGAACCUCCAAUCGGUUAAUAUCCGGGUGGCCUGACGGUACCCUCAAAGGAAGCCCCGCACAGCCCCGUGCCAGCAGCCGCGGUAAUACGGAGGGUGCAAGCGUUGUUCGGAAUUAUUGGGCGUAAAGCGCGUGUAGGCGGCUGUUUAAGUCUGAUGUGAAAGCCCUGGGCUCAACCCGGGAAGUGCAUUGGAAACUGGACAGCUUGAGUACGGGAGAGGGUAGUGGAAUUCCGAGUGUAGGGGUGAAAUCCGUAGAUAUUCGGAGGAACACCGGUGGCGAAGGCGGCUACCUGGACCGAUACUGACGCUGAGACGCGAAAGCGUGGGGAGCAAAC
rnacentral:rRNA from 1 species